rnacentral:tRNA from 1 species
GUGUCCGUGGUGUAGCGGCAGCACCCGGGGUUGUGGGCCCCGAGGGGCGGGUUCGAAUCCCGUCGGACACC